AUCAACCUGAACUCAGUCGUGAUUACCCGCUGAACUUAAGCAUAUCAUUUAGCGGAGGAAAAGAAACUAAAAAGGAUUCCCUUAGUAACGGCGAGUGAAACGGGAAGAGCCCAGCGCCGAAUCGUUCAGUCUUUGGCUGCUACGACAUGUGGCGUAUAGGUGUAGUCUUCCAGC
rnacentral:rRNA from 1 species